CGCACACACGUAGAACAAGUAAUAUCUAGCCAUUAAAAAACAAAUGAGAAGGAAAAGAUGAAGUCGCACCAGAUAUCCUAGAUCGCGGAGUUGUCGUAAUCCUCAUGAUUGGAUUGUGAGAAAUUGGCUUGAUCGGCGUUGGCGCUGGACUGGGGGAGUUUCCGUAACACUGACCUAAUCGCAGAGAUAUUUCGUAACGAUUAAUACCGAAUGGAUAACAGCAGAUCGAUACGCAGAACUACUGCACAAGUUACCUUUUUUAUAGAGACGCAUUCCUUCCUUUUUGGGAUCGAUGUUCCGGAUGCAGUGAUCCCCGGCCUCCUUGAUAUAUAUUUCUUCGUCGUUGACGAUCAAUCCAACGAAGCAUUCGUUCGUACCAGUAUCGUUUCUCAUCGUGUACGCGUACAUGACACCUUUCUCUUCCCACUGACCCAAGCACAAGAGCUCGCGAUCGGAUCGGAUCGAACGUUUUUACCCUCGUAAAGUUCUCCGGACUCGCAGUCGGUCACUUUGAAGUACAUGAUCUCGCGGGUGUUGCAGUUGCUGCUCAAUUCGGCGCACAUUCCCGACAAGUCCGUGAUCAUUCCCAUGUACUGGCCGGUAAUCGGACAAGGUGACUCCACGGCACGUUCAACCCCUGUUUCGAACGACAUCGAUCAUAGAUGAGUACAGAACGAAAUGCGAUUAACGGGACGCGUUACAAAUCGAUCGUGUGUCUCGACUGACUCGCUUGUGUCAUCCAAACCGGCUUGUCCAAAUUGGGGUCGUCGCACAAGUACGUUUGGUAAACAGGGUUCAGCACCAUCCCUAUCGUGAACUCCAGCACGUUCUCGCUACGCUGUCUCAUCAUCAGGCACAAGUACUCACCAUUGAUCCUUGGAGUACACGAUGUAACGACCGGUCUCUUCGUUCGAGUCGACCGUGAUGAAAGUGUAACUGUUAUAGCCGUUCAAAUCGGUGAAAGUCAUCGUGCCGUUUACAAUGAGCGACUCUUCCCACAGACCUUGGGCCCACUUUGGAAAUCUGAAGAAAAGGAAAACUGAAUCGCAUCGAAUCGCAUUGAUCCGAUAAUACGAUUUCGAGAAGCACCGGUCGAUCAACUUACGUCGCCACGUUCGUUUUCACGUAGUUCGGCAUUUUCUUCUGGUUGGGCACCUUGCUGAGAACCAAGGUCUCGUACCCGCUGGUGGAGUUGUCCAGAUUCUGGCUGCAGCUUGAGUCGCUGCCAAGUGCCAUGGCUCGAUAGGCUUGGAAAUGUAGAAGCUAACAAAUAUGGUUCGAACGGGACCGACCUGUCCAUCAGUAAGACGUUAUCACCGACCCUCCUGUGACAGUAACCCCAGACCGGUAUAGCGUUGAACGUGAUGGCGAUGGUGGAGUACUGAAUGGGCUGCGCGCCGGUCGUAUCGCCGGCUUCCUUUCCGCUCACCUGUGUCACGAACUCACCCUGAAAUUCCGCGGGAAAGUAACAGCCGACCAUGAACCGGGGGUCGUAGCCUCGAAGGCCGCCGUCGCUCGUGAUUACGGUCGCAUCUGCAAAUCAAAUAACGAUGCCUCGUUAGACGUGGUCGGUCGUUAACCGCGCGCCAGCGAAUCGCGCGGUGCUCUAGGAAUUCGCUUUCUAUCAACAAAAUUAUUUUAGCGUUGCUUCUCCAAGGUUUAUGGUCACGGUGCAAUAGACGAUCGAAUUCGUCUCGAUAUUAGCCAGCAAUGGAAUACUGCUUGGCCAGACCGCUGUGCAUCAAUUCAUGCCCUCGAACUUGGGCACGGAGAAUUUCACGGGUUUAAAGAGCGCAAGUAUUUCCGAAUUAGCCGAAGAAUCGCGGUCUAUGUUGGUUCAUCGAUUCGAGGAUAAAGGUAUUUCGUGCCUCGUGCCACGCGAUGCGGCGGGACGCGCGACGCACAGAAUAAAUCGCGUUCCAGUUUACUGCCCACAUGUCGCAUACCCAACGAUCCAUGAAUGGUCAUUAACGUCGGCAUUAAGUGGUUACGGAGGGCAGGUGCGACGCUGACAGGUGGACCACCAUGAUAAACUUGGCUACGAAACAUAAUACCAGUCGCUAUCGCCUGCCACGGAAGGAUUAUGCUCGGUCGCAUAGUUCGCGUGGCUCGCGGGAUCUCUUUCGUCGUCGAAUCCAUGACUCAUGGUCGCGAUGAGACAGCAACAGUUUGAGUUACCGCGAGUAUACUUGUCGAAAACGGCUGACUGAUAAGGUUGACACGUUCCUUAACGAGCCUAGUUCGAAGAGAUCUGUUCCGGACGCCGACAUUUAUAAACGAACGAUAAUUAGUAGAAAUAAAUAAAUAAAUCCUUUUGUUUUCGUUAGUACUUACUAGACCGCGGAUUUUAUGCAUUUACAACGCAAACGAAUCGAUGCGAUUUAAAACGCUUUUUACUAAUUAUCCUUCGCGUAUUUGUAGUAGCGUACCGAUUGCCAUAAUCAGCCUGUGUACUUCGAGAAUCGGAUGUCGAUCAACUUUUUGGGAAAGGUGGCCAGAAGGUACCAUUUCCCUCGACGGGGUUCCCAUGGUGGUUGCCGUUUGUCGGUUGCUGCGCGCAUUCUUCUCGCGGCAUUAUACUCUUGUACGAAUCUUCUCGGUUGGUCUCGGGUUCCUGAGAACGAGACCCACGGAGAGAACUGGUAACUGCCGUGCUCGGUCCCAUGCCACCUUCCUCUUCCACCCGUUGUUCCUCUUCCUUACCGUCGGCCUCGCAGUCAGUCCGAAAACGUGAUCGUCCCUCGCCAAUGGGUUUCCCCGUUUUAUUCCGUUUCACGGCUAAGCCGGUGUCCUCUUGUUGCAUCACGACAUUCGGCUACCACCCCCGUCCAACGCGCGACUACUGUCUCGCGUUUACUGUCCUUCUCGUUUUCUAGGAUUCCCACGGAUUCGAGCCCCGCGGCUCCUUCUUAUUGUUGUUGACAAUCGGUAACAAUAAAAACGAGUCUUGAAAAUAUUCG